rnacentral:rRNA from 1 species
GACUGGUAGGCAAAUCCGCCGGUCUUGUCGAAGGUGAUAGUACCACAAGGCUUCGGCUGAGUGGAUAGUGUUCCUAAUCAGACUUCCAAGAAAACCCGCUAAACGAUAGGUAACAGGAUCCCGUACCGUAAACCGACACAGGUAGUCGAGGAGAGAAUCCUAAGGUGCUCGAGUGAAUCAUGGCUAAGGAACUCGGCAAAAUGGCCCUGUAACUUCGGGAGAAGGGGCGCUGAUAGCAAUAUCAGCCGCAGUGAAAAGGCCCAGGCGACUGUUUAACAAAAACACAUGGCUAUGCUAAAUCGAAAGAUGAUGUAUAUGGCCUGACACCUGCCCGGUGCUGGAAGGUUAAGAGGGGAUGUUAUCCCGAUUUAUCGUGAGACGCAUUGAAUCGAAGCCCCAGUAAACGGCGGCCGUAACAAUAACGGUCCUAAGGUAGCGAAAUUCCUUGUCGGGUAAGUUCCGACCUGCACGAAUGGUGUAACGAUCUGGGCGCUGUCUCAGCCAUGAGCUCGGUGAAAUUGUGGUAUCGGUGAAGACGCCGGUUACCCGCAACGGGACGGAAAGACCCCAUGCACCUUCACUACAGCUUAACAUUGACUUUGGAUACAGGAUGUGUAGGAUAGGUGGGAGGCUUUGAUCUUGCGUCGCUAGGCGUAAGUUAGCCAACGUUGAAAUACCACCCUUUUUGUAUUCGGAGUCUAAUCCCGCAAAGCGGGAGACAUUGUUUGGUGGGUAGUUUGACUGGGGUGGUCGCCUCCAAAAGUGUAACGGAGGCUUUCAAAGGUAUGCUCAGUACGCUUGGUAACCGUACGCGGAGUGCAAUAGCAUAAGCAUGCUUGACUGUGAGGCCGACAAGCCGAUCAGGUACGAAAGUAGGAUAUAGUGAUCCGGUGGUCCUGCAUGGAAGGGCCAUCGCUCAAAGGAUAAAAGGUACGCUCUGGAUAACAGGCUGAUCUCCCCCAAGAGCUCAUGUCGACGGGGAGGUUUGGCACCUCGAUGUCGGCUCGUCACAUCCUGGGGCUGGAGAAGGUCCCAAGGGUUCGGCUGUUCGCCGAUUAAAGUGGCACGCGAGCUGGGUUCAGAACGUCGCGAGACAGUUCGGUCCCUAUCUGUUGUGGGCGUUGCAAGCUUGAGUGGGCCUGACCUUAGUACGAGAGGACCGGGUUGGACCAGCCGCUGGUGUAUCUGUUGUGCCGCCAGGUGCAGUGCAGAGUAGCUACGCUGGGUUAAGAUAAGCGCUGAAAGCAUCUAAGUGCGAAACUUGCCACAAGAUAAGGCUUGCUUGAGGGAUGUCGAAGAUGACGACGUUGAUAGGCUGCAGAUGUAAAGGUAGUGAUACCAAAGUCGAGCAGUACUAAUUACCCAA